rnacentral:rRNA from 1 species
GACGAACGCUGGCGGCGGGCCUAACACAUGCAAGUCGAACGCACUCGACCUUCGGGUCAUAUGAGUGAGUGGCGAACGGGUGAGUAACACGUGAGAAACCUGCCCCGAAGACUGGAAUAACCCGAGGAAACUCGGGCUAAUACCGGAUGCCCCCAACUGAUCGCAUGAUCAGUUGAGGAAAUGCUCCGGCGCUUCGGGAGGGUCUCGCGGCCUAUCAGCUAGUUGGUGAGGUAACGGCUCACCAAGGCAACGACGGGUAGCUGGUCUGAGAGGACGAUCAGCCACACUGGGACUGAGACACGGCCCAGACUCCUACGGGAGGCAGCAGUGGGGAAUCUUGCGCAAUGGACGAAAGUCUGACGCAGCCACGCCGCGUGAGGGAUGAAGGCUUUCGGGUCGUAAACCUCUUUCAGCAGGGAAGAAAAUGACGGUACCUGCAGAAGAAGCUCCGGCCAACUACGUGCCAGCAGCCGCGGUAACACGUAGGGAGCAAGCGUUGUCCGGAUUUAUUGGGCGUAAAGAGCUCGUAGGCUGUUCAGUAAGUCAGGUGUGAAAACUCGAGGCUCAACCUCGAGACGCCACUUGAUACUGCUGUGACUAGAGUCCGGUAGAGGAGUGUGGAAUUCCUGGUGUAGCGGUGAAAUGCGCAGAUAUCAGGAGGAACACCAGCAGCGAAGGCGGCACUCUGGGCCGGUACUGACGCUGAGGAGCGAAAGCAUGGGGAGCGAACAGGAUUAGAUACCCUGGUAGUCCAUGCCGUAAACGUUGGGCACUAGAUGUGGGAUCUCGCUAACAGAUUCCGUGUCGCAGCUAACGCAUUAAGUGCCCCGCCUGGGGAGUACGGCCGCAAGGCUAAAACUCAAAGGAAUUGACGG